GACGAACGCUGGCGGCGUGCCUAAUACAUGCAAGUAGAACGCACAGUUUAUACCGUAGCUUGCUACACCAUAGACUGUGAGUUGCGAACGGGUGAGUAACGCGUAGGUAACCUGCCUGGUAGCGGGGGAUAACUAUUGGAAACGAUAGCUAAUACCGCAUAAUAUUGAUUAUUGCAUGAUAAUUGAUUGAAAGAUGCUAUUGCAUCACUACUAGAUGGACCUGCGUUGUAUUAGCUAGUAGGUGAGGUAACGGCUCACCUAGGCGACGAUACAUAGCCGACCUGGGAGGGUGAUCGGCCACACUGGGACUGAGACACGGCCCAGACUCCUACGGGAGGCAGCAGUAGGGAAUCUUCGGCAAUGGACGAAAGUCUGAACGAGCAACGCCGCGGGAGUGAAGAAGGUUGUCGGAUCGGAAAGCUCUGUUGUAAGAGAAGAACGGGUGUGAGAGUGGAAAGUUCACACUGUGACGGUAUCUUACCAGAAAGGGACGGCUAACUACGUG
rnacentral:rRNA from 1 species